AUUGAACGCUGGCGACAUGCCUUACACAUGCAAGUCGAACGGCAGCACGGGUGCUUGCACCUGGUGGCGAGUGGCGAACGGGUGAGUAAUACAUCGGAACAUGUCCUGUAGUGGGGGAUAGCCCGGCGAAAGCCGGAUUAAUACCGCAUACGAUCUACGGAUGAAAGCGGGGGACCUUCGGGCCUCGCGCUAUAGGGUUGGCCGAUGGCUGAUUAGCUAGUUGGUGGGGUAAAGGCCUACCAAGGCGACGAUCAGUAGCUGGUCUGAGAGGACGACCAGCCACACUGGGACUGAGACACGGCCCAGACUCCUACGGGAGGCAGCAGUGGGGAAUUUUGGACAAUGGGCGAAAGCCUGAUCCAGCAAUGCCGCGUGUGUGAAGAAGGCCUUCGGGUUGUAAAGCACUUUUGUCCGGAAAGAAAUCCUUGGCCCUCAUACGGUCGGGGGAUGACGGUACCGGAAGAAUAAGCACCGGCUAACUACGUG
rnacentral:rRNA from 1 species